AAGUGGAUUUGGGAACAGGUGUCUAAUAUAAAGAAAAAAGUUGAAAAAGAAGACGAAGGAUGAAAACGGUAGAGCACAUGUCUGACCUCCAGCAA